CUCACACUUCUGCAAUCAUGCAGGGCAAAGACCUGUGAUUUCACUUGAAACUGAAUGCUUCACAUUGUGAUGUGCUCUCCUCUGCUUCUCACUGACAUUGACUAAUGUGACCCAUUCAGUACAUUUCAACAUUACCAUGGGACAGGCUUGAGCUCCAAUAGGGCAACGACGUCUGUGCUUGGCAGUUUGUGACGCGAAUGCUGUGUGGAGAGGAAGUGGUCAACAGUGGCAGCAGCAGACUGACAGCAGCCCGGCGCUCCGAGCAGAAGGUGGUCACUUCCUAUAUUCACCAAGCUGACCAGGCGGGGGGAAGCUGGCCUCUUCUGCAACAAACAAGCUGUUCCCACUGGGCUAAUUCAAUAAAGCUGAAACCUUACAUUUCCUGGCUUGGGAACUGUACU